rnacentral:rRNA from 1 species
CAGUCGCCGGGGAAUACGUAGGGUGCGAGCGUUAAUCGGAAUUACUGGGCGUAAAGCGUGCGCAGGCGGUUCGUUAAGACAGAUGUGAAAUCCCCGGGCUUAACCUGGGAACUGCAUUUGUGACUGACGGGCUAGAGUAUGGCAGAGGGGGGUAGAAUUCCACGUGUAGCAGUGAAAUGCGUAGAGAUGUGGAGGAAUACCGAUGGCGAAGGCAGCCCCCUGGGCCAAUACUGACGCUCAUGCACGAAAGCGUGGGGAGCAAACAGGAUUAGAUACCCGCGUAGUCCCUGUCUCUUAUACC